rnacentral:tRNA from 1 species
UUUAUUUUGGUGUAAAAAGCACAUAAAAUUUUGAUUUUUAAGGUAUUUGUUUAGAU